rnacentral:rRNA from 1 species
AAAUGAAUAGACGGGGACCCGCACAAGCGGUGGAGCAUGUGGUUUAAUUCGAAGCAACGCGAAGAACCUUACCAGGUCUUGACAUCCUCUGACCAUCCUAGAGAUAGGACCUUCCCCUUCGGGGGACAGAGUGACAGGUGGUGCAUGGUUGUCGUCAGCUCGUGUCGUGAGAUGUUGGGUUAAGUCCCGCAACGAGCGCAACCCUUGUCCUUAGUUGCCAGCAUUCAGUUGGGCACUCUAAGGAGACUGCCGGUGACAAACCGGAGGAAGGUGGGGAUGACGUCAAAUCAUCAUGCCCCUUAUGACCUGGGCUACACACGUGCUACAAUGGAUGGUACAAAGGGUUGCGAAGCCGCGAGGUGAAGCUAAUCCCAUAAAACCAUUCUCAGUUCGGAUUGCAGGCUGCAACUCGCCUGCAUGAAGCCGGAAUCGCUAGUAAUCGUGGAUCAGCAUGCCACGGUGAAUACGUUCCCGGGUCUUGUACACACCGCCCGU